AAAGAAAUUACAGGAGGCGGUGGUGCAUGCCUUUAAACCCAGCAGGCAGAGGCAGAAGUAUCUCAGCUUUGAAGUUCUUAGGAAUUGCUUUUUUGGCACAGUUUAUCUGCUUUGUCCCGAGUGGCCUUGGAGACCUCAUCAUUUCGCUCCGGUGAUGAUCAUUUUUGGCUCUUCGAGACAAGGAGAAUGUCUUUGGUUUCACUUUGAAGCUUGCUAGAGAAAAAAAUAUCCCGGGACCCUUAUCAUGAGGAUGUGAAGAGUCCUUUGUGGCAGCGGCUCCCUGUAACUUAGUAACAUCUGAUGAAGUGGUCCAUUUGCAGAGGAUGCUGAUGGAGGAGAGGCCUCAUGUGUUGUGCAGGAAAGAGUUCCUGCUGCCUCCUCAAACUUCAGCUUCACCUGCCUCCAGGGGCUUGGGAAAUGCUUUCUUCUUAGUAAGGCCAGGAACAGAGCUGAAAGCAGGGUUUUUUUCCCCCUUCCCUCCCCAUAGUCAUCUUUGUCACAACCACAAGGUAUAUAGGAGCUCGCCAAGCCGCCUGCCUGCCACUUAGUGACCCCCAUAGAGGGGUUUAUUCAAAUCAACUACAUUUUACCCGUUUGGCUUUUCUGGCUGGUUUUCUUUUUCUUCCUUUGGUGCUGAGAUUUGAACCCAAGCCCAACCUCAUGCAUGCUGGGCAAAUACUCCACCAUGGAGUCAUACCCCUAGCUUGGUGUAUUUUUAUAACCCUGGGCUAGAGGGUGGAUCGUACCAACACUUGUGAACUCAAAAAGCUCUCUCUAGUUAAACAUCUCAACAAUGGC
ensembl:lincRNA Gm14228 predicted gene 14228